rnacentral:rRNA from 1 species
GGGUUGUGAGGUUAAGCGACUAAGCGUACACGGUGGAUGCCCUGGCAGUCAGAGGCGAUGAAGGACGUGCUAAUCUGCGAUAAGCGUCGGUAAGGUGAUAUGAACCGUUAUAACCGGCGAUUUCCGAAUGGGGAAACCCAGUGUGUUUCGACACACUAUCAUUAACUGAAUCCAUAGGUUAAUGAGGCGAACCGGGGGAACUGAAACAUCUAAGUACCCCGAGGAAAAGAAAUCAACCGAGAUUCCCCCAGUAGCGGCGAGCGAACGGGGAGCAGCCCAGAGCCUGAAUCAGUGUGUGUGUUAGUGGAAGCGUCUGGAAAGGCGCGCGAUACAGGGUGACAGCCCGUACACAAAAAUGCACAUGCUGUGAGCUCGAUGAGUAGGGCGGGACACGUGGUAUCCUGUCUGAAUAUGGGGGGACCAUCCUCCAAGGCUAAAUACUCCUGACUGACCGAUAGUGAACCAGUACCGUGAGGGAAAGGCGAAAAGAACCCCGGCGAGGGGAGUGAAAAAGAACCUGAAACCGUGUACGUACAAGCAGUGGGAGCACGCUUAGGCGUGUGACUGCGUACCUUUUGUAUAAUGGGUCAGCGACUUAUAUUCUGUAGCAAGGUUAACCGAAUAGGGGAGCCGAAGGGAAACCGAGUCUUAACUGGGCGUUAAGUUGCAGGGUAUAGACCCGAAACCCGGUGAUCAGCCAUGGGCAGGUUGAAGGUUGGGUAACACUAACUGGAGGACCGAACCGACUAAUGUUGAAAAAUUAGCGGAUGACUUGUGGCUGGGGGUGAAAGGCCAAUCAAACCGGGAGAUAGCUGGUUCUCCCCGAAAGCUAUUUAGGUAGCGCCUCGUGAAUUCAUCUCCGGGGGUAGAGCACUGUUUCGGCAAGGGGGUCAUCCCGACUUACCAACCCGAUGCAAACUGCGAAUACCGGAGAAUGUUAUCACGGGAGACACACGGCGGGUGCUAACGUCCGUCGUGAAGAGGGAAACAACCCAGACCGCCAGCUAAGGUCCCAAAGUCAUGGUUAAGUGGGAAACGAUGUGGGAAGGCCCAGACAGCCAGGAUGUUGGCUUAGAAGCAGCCAUCAUUUAAAGAAAGCGUAAUAGCUCACUGGUCGAGUCGGCCUGCGCGGAAGAUGUAACGGGGCUAAACCAUGCACCGAAGCUGCGGCAGCGACGCUUAUGCGUUGUUGGGUAGGGGAGCGUUCUGUAAGCCUGCGAAGGUGUGCUGUGAGGCAUGCUGGAGGUAUCAGAAGUGCGAAUGCUGACAUAAGUAACGAUAAAGCGGGUGAAAAGCCCGCUCGCCGGAAGACCAAGGGUUCCUGUCCAACGUUAAUCGGGGCAGGGUGAGUCGACCCCUAAGGCGAGGCCGAAAGGCGUAGUCGAUGGGAAACAGGUUAAUAUUCCUGUACUUGGUGUUACUGCGAAGGGGGGACGGAGAAGGCUAUGUUGGCCGGGCGACGGUUGUCCCGGUUUAAGCGUGUAGGCUGGUUUUCCAGGCAAAUCCGGAAAAUCAAGGCUGAGGCGUGAUGACGAGGCACUACGGUGCUGAAGCAACAAAUGCCCUGCUUCCAGGAAAAGCCUCUAAGCAUCAGGUAACAUCAAAUCGUACCCCAAACCGACACAGGUGGUCAGGUAGAGAAUACCAAGGCGCUUGAGAGAACUCGGGUGAAGGAACUAGGCAAAAUGGUGCCGUAACUUCGGGAGAAGGCACGCUGAUAUGUAGGUGAGGUCCCUCGCGGAUGGAGCUGAAAUCAGUCGAAGAUACCAGCUGGCUGCAACUGUUUAUUAAAACACAGCACUGUGCAAACACGAAAGUGGACGUAUACGGUGUGACGCCUGCCCGGUGCCGGAAGGUUAAUUGAUGGGGUUAGCGCAAGCGAAGCUCUUGAUCGAAGCCCCGGUAAACGGCGGCCGUAACUAUAACGGUCCUAAGGUAGCGAAAUUCCUUGUCGGGUAAGUUCCGACCUGCACGAAUGGCGUAAUGAUGGCGGGCUGUCUCCACCCGAGACUCAGUGAAAUUGAACUCGCUGUGAAGAUGCAGUGUACCCGCGGCAAGACGGAAAGACCCCGUGAACCUUUACUAUAGCUUGACACUGAACAUUGAGCCUUGAUGUGUAGGAUAGGUGGGAGGCUUUGAAGUGUGGACGCCAGUCUGCAUGGAGCCGACCUUGAAAUACCACCCUUUAAUGUUUGAUGUUCUAACGUUGACCCGUAAUCCGGGUUGCGGACAGUGUCUGGUGGGUAGUUUGACUGGGGCGGUCUCCUCCUAAAGAGUAACGGAGGAGCACGAAGGUUGGCUAAUCCUGGUCGGACAUCAGGAGGUUAGUGCAAUGGCAUAAGCCAGCUUGACUGCGAGCGUGACGGCGCGAGCAGGUGCGAAAGCAGGUCAUAGUGAUCCGGUGGUUCUGAAUGGAAGGGCCAUCGCUCAACGGAUAAAAGGUACUCCGGGGAUAACAGGCUGAUACCGCCCAAGAGUUCAUAUCGACGGCGGUGUUUGGCACCUCGAUGUCGGCUCAUCACAUCCUGGGGCUGAAGUAGGUCCCAAGGGUAUGGCUGUUCGCCAUUUAAAGUGGUACGCGAGCUGGGUUUAGAACGUCGUGAGACAGUUCGGUCCCUAUCUGCCGUGGGCGCUGGAGAACUGAGGGGGGCUGCUCCUAGUACGAGAGGACCGGAGUGGACGCAUCACUGGUGUUCGGGUUGUCAUGCCAAUGGCACUGCCCGGUAGCUAAAUGCGGAAGAGAUAAGUGCUGAAAGCAUCUAAGCACGAAACUUGCCCCGAGAUGAGUUCUCCCUGACCCUUUAAGGGUCCUGAAGGAACGUUGAAGACGACGACGUUGAUAGGCCGGGUGUGUAAGCGCAGCGAUGCGUUGAGCUAACCGGUACUAAUGAACCGUGAGGCUUAACCUUACAACGCCGAAGCUGUU